GCAGUCGAACGAACUUCCGUUAAUUGAUUAUGACGUACUUGUACUGAUUGAGAUUUUAACACGAAGUGAGUGGCGAACGGGUGAGUAACACGUGGGUAACCUGCCCAGAAGUAGGGGAUAACACCUGGAAACAGAUGCUAAUACCGUAUAACAGAGAAAACCGCAUGGUUUUCUUUUAAAAGAUGGCUCUGCUAUCACUUCUGGAUGGACCCGCGGCGUAUUAGCUAGUUGGUGAGGUAAAGGCUCACCAAGGCAGUGAUACGUAGCCGACCUGAGAGGGUAAUCGGCCACAUUGGGACUGAGACACGGCCCAGACUCCUACGGGAGGCAGCAGUAGGGAAUCUUCCACAAUGGACGCAAGUCUGAUGGAGCAACGCCGCGUGAGUGAAGAAGGGUUUCGGCUCGUAAAGCUCUGUUGUUAAAGAAGAACGUGGGUAAGAGUAACUGUUUACCCAGUGACGGUAUUUAACCAGAAAGCCACGGCUAACUACGUGCCAGCAGCCGCGGUAAUACGUAGGUGGCAAGCGUUAUCCGGAUUUAUUGGGCGUAAAGCGAGCGCAGGCGGUCUUUUAAGUCUAAUGUGAAAGCCUUCGGCUCAACCGAAGAAGUGCAUUGGAAACUGGGAGACUUGAGUGCAGAAGAGGACAGUGGAACUCCAUGUGUAGCGGUGAAAUGCGUAGAUAUAUGGAAGAACACCAGUGGCGAAGGCGGCUGUCUGGUCUGCAACUGACGCUGAGGCUCGAAAGCAUGGGUAGCGAACAGGAUUAGAUACCCUGGUAGUCCAUGCCGUAAACGAUGAUUACUAAGUGUUGGAGGGUUUCCGCCCUUCAGUGCUGCAGCUAACGCAUUAAGUAAUCCGCCUGGGGAGUACGACCGCAAGGUUGAAACUCAAAAGAAUUGACGGGGGCCCGCACAAGCGGUGGAGCAUGUGGUUUAAUUCGAAGCUACGCGAAGAACCUUACCAGGUCUUGACAUCUUCUGACAGUCUAAGAGAUUAGAGGUUCCCUUCGGGGACAGAAUGACAGGUGGUGCAUGGUUGUCGUCAGCUCGUGUCGUGAGAUGUUGGGUUAAGUCCCGCAACGAGCGCAACCCUUAUUACUAGUUGCCAGCAUUAAGUUGGGCACUCUAGUGAGACUGCCGGUGACAAACCGGAGGAAGGUGGGGACGACGUCAAAUCAUCAUGCCCCUUAUGACCUGGGCUACACACGUGCUACAAUGGAUGGUACAACGAGUCGCGAGACCGCGAGGUUAAGCUAAUCUCUUAAAACCAUUCUCAGUUCGGACUGUAGGCUGCAACUCGCCUACACGAAGUCGGAAUCGCUAGUAAUCGCGGAUCAGCAUGCCGCGGUGAAUACGUUCCCGGGCCUUGUACACACCGCCCGUCACACCAUGAGAGUUUGUAACACCCAAAGCCGGUGGGGUA
rnacentral:rRNA from 1 species